GAGGUUAAAGGUACCCGUACCGCAAACCGACACAGGUGGGUGAGGAGAGUAUCCUAAGGCCAGCGAGAGAACUGUUGUUAAGGAACUCGGCAAAAUGACCCCGUAACUUAGGGAUAAGGGGUGCCACCAUCAGGUGGCCGCAGAGAAUAGGCCCAAGCGACUGUUUACCAAAAACAUAGGUUUCUGCUAAGUCGCAAGACGAUGUAUAGGAGCUGACGCCUGCCCGGUGCUGGAAGGUUAAGGGGAUCUGUUAGAGCAAUCGAAGCAGUGAACUUAAGCCCCAGUAAACGGCGGCCGUAACUAUAACGGUCCUAAGGUAGCGAAAUUCCUUGUCGGGUAAGUUCCGACCCGCACGAAAGGCGUAACGAUUUGGGCACUGUCUCAACAACAGACUCGGUGAAAUUGUAAUUCCGGUGAAGAUGCCGGAUACCUGCGACAGGACGGAAAGACCCCAUGGAGCUUUACUGUAGCUUGACAUUGGGUCUUGGUACUACAUGUACAGGAUAGGUGGGAGGCUUUGAAACCAGGACGCCAGUUUUGG
rnacentral:rRNA from 1 species